rnacentral:rRNA from 1 species
GAUGAACGCUGGCGGCGUGCCUAAUACAUGCAAGUCGAGCGAACGGACGAGAAGCUUGCUUCUCUGAUGUUAGCGGCGGACGGGUGAGUAACACGUGGAUAACCUACCUAUAAGACUGGGAUAACUUCGGGAAACCGUAGCUAAUACCGGAUAAUAUUUUGAACCGCAUGGUUCAAAAGUGAAAGACGGUCUUGCUGUCACUUAUAGAUGGAUCCGCGCUGCAUUAGCUAGUUGGUAAGGUAACGGCUUACCAAGGCAACGAUGCAUAGCCGACCUGAGAGGGUGAUCCGCCCCACUGGAACUGAGACACGGUCCAGACUCCUACGGGAGGCAGCAGUAGGGAAUCUUCCGCAAUGGGCGAAAGCCUGACGGAGCAACGCCGCGUGAGUGAUGAAGGUCUUCGGAUCGUAAAACUCUGUUAUUAGGGAAGAACAUAUGUGUAAGUAACUGUGCACAUCUUGACGGUACCUAAUCAGAAAGCCACGGCUAACUACGUG